GGGGUGUCUGUGGGAAGUGUGUUACUUCAUCUGUGUCCUGGGAGUUCCCGCUCACCAGGGACAGUGCUGGGGUUAGUCUGCCCUUAGGACACGUGGACACAGGUGUCACUGGACAGCAGAGCUUGUGGGACACUCCAAAGACGGUGAUUUGUCACCAGGUCAGCCUGAUGACAGCAUUUCUUCAGUUGAAAUGGACUCUUAAUGGAGAGACUGGGAAGAUGCGCGGAGAGAGACAAUGUAGCAUCAGAAGACUGUUUACAUCUGGGGAUUUGGGUCUUUCAAAGUGACAAGUUCAUUACCCACCUGUACCAGCAGAGAUGUCUUCAGGGACCCCGUGUGGACCAGAAACCAUCAACAAUAAACACUUCCCGUGUGAAUGAUGA